rnacentral:lncRNA from 1 species
GUAAUUAUGUGUGUGUGUGUGUGUGUAUAUAUAUGUAUAUAUGCACGCCUGCUAUCAUGCACUUCCCAUUACCGUGAAUCACAAAUUAAUCCGAAAUUGGGCGUGUGUGUGUGUGUGUAUAUCGUGAUCCGUGACACUGGCGAAAAUGCAUGGUUCAUCGUGGAUGAGAUCAGAAGUCACGUUACAUGUGAAAUGAUACAAACACACGCAUAUAAAUAUAUAUAUAUAUAUAUUUACCUGACGAGUUUACUGCAGUUACAAGUAAGCCAUCUAGAUUUCAGUGUUACACAGAGAGAGCACACAUACAUAUAUAUUUACAUGUGGGCUGCUCAUCAAUGUCAUUGGCAAUAGAAAGAGAGAUUCUUGAUGAUUUCCAAAUACUACAAAGUGUAGCAGACUCGCGUUGACGACUAUUUAAAGGGGUUAAUUGAUGGUGACUCACGCUGACGUUAAUGGCGUACAAUCUUGAUUUUUCUUCUUAUAAUCAAUUAAGCAUUAAUUGAAUAUUAAUUUAUUCGGUGACAAAUGGAUCUGUAGAAUCGUUUUUGUCUACUCUAUUGGGAGACCAAGUAGCCAAUUAAGAUGUAAUGCCCAGGAAAUGUCCAAGUUAUCCUUAAUGAGAGACAUAUAUCCGACGAUUGUGGGACUAACCCUAUAUCCAAUGGCUCUCAUUUGGGAUUAAAGGAAGAUCCACUGUUACUAAAUAUAAUUAUAGGUUAAUCUAUUAAAUAUCUUUUAUUGAAUUUUUGUAACUCAC